GGAAUCUUCCACAAUGGACGAAAGUCUGAUGGAGCAACGCCGCGUGAGUGAUGAAGGUUUUCGGAUCGUAAAACUCUGUUGUAAGGGAAGAACAAGUACGAGAGGCAAUGCUCGUACCUUGACGGUACCUUGCGAGAAAGCCACGGCUAACUACGUGCCAGCAGCCGCGGUAAUACGUAGGUGGCAAGCGUUGUCCGGAAUUAUUGGGCGUAAAGCGCGCGCAGGCGGCCUUUUAAGUCUGAUGUGAAAGCCCCCGGCUCAACCGGGGAGGGUCAUUGGAAACUGGAAGGCUUGAGUACAGAAGAGAAGAGUGGAAUUCCAUGUGUAGCGGUGAAAUGCGUAGAGAUGUGGAGGAACACCAGUGGCGAAGGCGACUCUUUGGUCUGUAACUGACGCUGAGGCGCGAAAGCGUGGGGAGCAAACAGGAUUAGAUACCCUUG
rnacentral:rRNA from 1 species